UCAGGAUCACGCUGGCGGCGUGCCUAACACAUGCAAGUCGAACGCCCUUAGCAAUAAGGGAGUGGCGGACGGGUGAGUAACGCGUGGGUCAUCUACCUUGAGGUGAGGAAUACCGGCGAGAAAUCGCCGACAAUACCGCAUACGUUCCACAAGAAACAAAGCUCCUUUCGGGGGGCGCCACAAGAUGAGCCCGCGUCCGAUUAGCCUGUUGGUGGGGUAAUGGCCUACCAAAGCUUCGAUCGGUAGCUGGUCUGAGAGGACGAGCAGCCACACUGGGAUUGAGAACGGCCCAGACUCCUACGGGGGGCAGCAGUGAAGAAUUUUCGGCAAUGGGGGCAACCCUGACCGAGCAACGCCGCGUUGCAGGAUGACGGCCUUCGGGUUGUAAACUGCUUUUCUGUGGGACGAGAAUGGACGGUACCACAGGAAGAAGCCCCGGCUAACUACGUGCCAGCAGCCGCGGUAAUACGUACGGGGCGAGCGUUAUCCGGAGUUACUGGGCGUAAAGCGCGCGCAGGCGGUGCCUUAAGUUUGGGGUGACAGUUUCCGGCUUAACCGGGAAAGGACCUCGAACACUGGGACACUUGAGGGCUUCAGAGGGAGACGGAAUUCCGGGUGGAGUGGUGAAAUGCGUAGAUAUCCGGAGGAACACCAAAGGCGAAGGCAGUCUCCUGGGAAGUUCCUGACGCUCAGGCGCGAAAGCCAGGGGAGCGAACGGGAUUAGAUACCCCGGUAGUCCUGGCCGUAAACGAUGACCACUAGAUGUGCGGGGUAUCGACCCCCUGCGUGUCGGCACUAACGUAUUAAGUGGUCCGCCUGGGGAGUACGGUCGCAAGAUUAAAACUCAAAGGAAUUGACGGGGACCCGCACAAGCAGCGGAGCGUGUGGUUUAAUUCGAUGCAACGCGAAGAACCUUACCAGGGCUUGACAUGUGCCUGAGCGCACGAGAGAUCGUGUUUCCUUCGGGACAGGUGCACAGGUGCUGCAUGGCUGUCGUCAGCUCGUGCCGUGAGGUGUUGGGUUAAGUCCCGCAACGAGCGCAACCCCUAUGGCUAGUUACACGUUUCUAGUCAGACUGCCUCGAUCAACGGGGAGGAAGGUGGGGAUGACGUCAAGUCAGCACGGCCCUUACGUCCUGGGCGACACACACGCUACAAUGGCCGGUACAACGAGUUGCCAACCCGUGAGGGGGAGCCAAUCUCAGCAAAGCCGGUCUCAGUUCAGAUUGAAGGCUGCAACCCGCCUUCAUGAAGUUGGAGUUGCUAGUAACCGUGAGUCAGCACAUCACGGUGAAUACAUAUCCCGGUGCUGUACACAC
rnacentral:rRNA from 1 species